UACGUAGGGGGCAAGCGUUGUCCGGAUUUAUUGGGCGUAAAGAGCGUGUAGGCGGCUUGGAAGGUCAGCUGUGAAAACUCGAGGCUCAACCUCGAGACGUCGGUUGAAACCACCUGGCUAGAGUCCGGAAGAGGAGAGUGGAAUUCCCGGUGUAGCGGUGAAAUGCGCAGAUAUCGGGAAGAACACCCGUGGCGAAGGCGGCUUCCUGGCCUGUAACUGACGCUGAGACGCGAAAGCGUGGGGAGCGAACCGG
rnacentral:rRNA from 1 species